rnacentral:rRNA from 1 species
UGGGGGAUAUUGCACAAUGGGCGAAAGCCUGAUGCAGCGACGCCGCGUGGGGGAUGAAGGCCUUCGGGUUGUAAACUUCUUUUGCUCUGAACAAGGCGCACCAUGGGGUGUGUUGAGUGUAGGGGUUGAUUAGCGCCGGCUAACUACGUGCCAGCAGCCGCGGUAAUACGUAGGGCGCGAGCGUUGUCCGGAAUUAUUGGGCGUAAAGGGCUUGUAGGUGGCUGGUUGCGUCUGUCGUGAAAGCUCAUGGCUUAACUGUGGGUUUGCGGUGGGUACGGGCUGGCUUGAGUGCAGUAGGGGAGGCUGGAAUUCCUGGUGUAGCGGUGGAAUGCGCAGAUAUCAGGAGGAAUACCGGUGGCGAAGGCGGGUCUCUGGGCUGUUACUGACACUGAGGAGCGAAAGCAUGGGGAGCGAACAUG